rnacentral:lncRNA from 1 species
UCACUUUGUAAGCGUUCUAUAUUAUCUAUUCAGGUUAUUAAUGCUGCGCUUGCUUUGGCUGCAAGACCCAAAAGUCAAGUGGUAAAAAACACCAUGGAAAUGUAUAAACACACAUGGGAGAACUAUAUACAUGUCCUCACUGAAGCUGUAGAUGACAUUACAAGCAUUGAUGACUUCCUUGCUGUAUCUGGUAUGUUUUGAUCUUUUAAUUUAUGCAUUAACUCUU